AAUCAACGCUGGCGGCGUGCCUCAGACAUGCAAGUCGAACGAGUAAAGCUCUCUUUGGAGAGUGCAUAGAGUGGCGCACGGGUGAGUAACACGUAAGUAAUCUACCUUCGAGUGGGGAAUAACGUCCGUAAACGGACGCUAAUACCGCAUAAUGCAGCGGCAUCGUAAGAUGACAGUUGUUAAAGGAGCAAUUCGCUUGAAGAGGAGCUUGCGGCAGAUUAGCUAGUUGGUAAGGUAAUGGCUUACCAAGGCUACGAUCUGUAUCCGGUCUAAGAGGACGGUCGGACACACUGACACUGAAUAACGGGUCAGACUCCUACGGGAGGCAGCAGUCGGGAAUUUUGGGCAAUGGGGGAAACCCUGACCCAGCAACGCCGCGUGAAGGAUGAAGUUUUUCGGAAUGUAAACUUCGAAAGAAUAGGAAGAAUCAAUGACGGUACUAUUUAUAAGGUCCGGCUAACUACGUGCCAGCCGCCGCGGUAAGAC
rnacentral:rRNA from 1 species